UACGGGGGGUGCGAGCGUUGUCCGGAAUCACUGGGCGUAAAGGGCGCGUAGGUGGCGUGAUAAGGGUGUGGUGAAAGCCCGGGGCUCAACCCCGGGUCUGCCAUGCCGACUGUCAGGCUAGAGUACUGUAGGGGCAGGCGGAAUUCCGGGUGUAGCGGUGAAAUGCGUAGAUAUCUGGAAGAACACCGGUGGCGAAGGCGGCCAUCUGGGACCGGUACUGACGCUGAGGCGCGAAAGCUAGGGGAGCGAAUGGG
rnacentral:rRNA from 1 species